AUACGUAGGGGGCGAGCGUUGUCCGGAAUGAUUGGGCGUAAAGGGCGCGUAGGCGGCGCGGUAAGUCUGGAGUGAAAGUCCUGCUUUCAAGGUGGGAAUUGCUUUGGAUACUGCCGCGCUUGAGUGCAGGAGAGGUUAUCGGAAUUCCCGGUGUAGCGGUGAAAUGCGUAGAGAUCGGGAGGAACACCAGUGGCGAAGGCGGGUAACUGGACUGCAACUGGCGCUGAGGCGCGAAAGUGUGGGGAGCAAACAGGAUUAGAUACCCUGGUAGUCCACACUGUAAACGAUGAAUGCUAGGUGUAAGAGGUAUCGACCCCUUUUGUGCCGGAGUCAACACAAUAAGCAUUCCGCCUGGGGAGUACGGCCGCAAGGUUGAAACUCAAAGGAAUUGACGGGG
rnacentral:rRNA from 1 species